rnacentral:rRNA from 1 species
AUUGAACGCUGGCGGCAUGCUUUACACAUGCAAGUCGAACGGUAACAGGCCGCAAGGUGCUGACGAGUGGCGAACGGGUGAGUAAUGCAUCGGAACGUGCCCAGUCGUGGGGGAUAACGCAGCGAAAGCUGUGCUAAUACCGCAUACGAUCUAUGGAUGACAGCGGGGGACCGUAAGGCAUCGCGCGAUUGGAGCGGCCCAUGUCAGAUUAGGUAGUUGGUGGGGUAAAGGCCUACCAAGCCGACGAUCUGUAGCUGGUCUGAGAGGCCGACCAGCCACACUGGGACUGAGACACGGCCCAGACUCCUACGGGAGGCAGCAGUGGGGAAUUUUGGACAAUGGGCGCAAGCCUGAUCCAGCAAUGCCGCGUGCAGGAAGAAGGCCUUCGGGUUGUAAACUGCUUUUGUACGGAACGAAACGGUCUGGGUUAAUACCCUGGGCUAAUGACGGUACCGUAAGAAUAAGCACCGGCUAACUACGUGCCAGCCGCCGCCGUAA